GCUGAACGUUGGCGGCGUGCCUAAUACAUGCAAGUCGAGCGAACGGACGAGAAGUGGGCUUCUCGGAUGUGAGCGGCGGACGGGUCAGUAACACGUGGAUAACCAUCCUAUAAAGCUUGGAUAAGUUCGGGAGUCCGAAGCUAAUACCGGAUAAUAUCUGUAAUCACAUGGUUCAAAAGUCAAAGUCGAUCUUACUGUCUCUUAUUGAUGGAUCCGCGCUACUUUAGGUGGUUGGUAAGGUAACGGUUUACUAAGGCAACGAUGCAUAGCCGCCCUGCGAGGGUGAUCAGCCUCGCUCUGACUGAGACACGGUCCAGACUCCUACGGGAGGCAGCAGUAGGGAAUCUUCCGCAAUGGGCGAAAGCCUGACGGAGCAACGCCGCGUGAGUGAUGAUGGUCUUCGGAUCGUAAAACUCUGUUAUUAGAGGAGAACAUAUGUGUAAGUAACUGUGCACAUCUUGACGGUACCUAAUCAGAAAGCCACGGCUAACUACGUG
rnacentral:rRNA from 1 species